UACGGAGGGGGCUAGCGUUGUUCGGAAUUACUGGGCGUAAAGCGCACGUAGGCGGCUUUGUAAGUUAGAGGUGAAAGCCCGGGGCUCAACCCCGGAAUUGCCUUUAAGACUGCAUCGCUAGAAUUGUGGAGAGGUAAGUGGAAUUCCGAGUGUAGAGGUGAAAUUCGUAGAUAUUCGGAAGAACACCAGUGGCGAAGGCGACUUACUGGACACAUAUUGACGCUGAGGUGCGAAAGCGUGGGGGAGCAAACGGG
rnacentral:rRNA from 1 species